AGGUUAAGUUACAAAGGGCGCACGGUGGAUGCCUUGGCACUAGGAGCCGAUGAAGGACGGAACUAAUACCGAUAUGCUUCGGGGAGCUAUAAGUAAGCUUUGAUCCGGAGAUUUCCGAAUGGGGGAACCCAGUACACAUCAGUGUAUUGCCUGCAAGUGAAUACAUAGCUUGUUGGCGGCAGACGCGGGGAACUGAAACAUCUCAGUACCCGCAGGAAGAGAAAGAAAACUCGAUUCCCAUAGUAGCGGCGAGCGAAGUGGGAAGAGCCCAAACCGAGAAGCUUGCUUCUCGGGGUUGUAGGACUGGACAUUGGAGUUACCAAAGUUCGACGUAGUCGAAGUCAGCUGGAAAGCUGCGCCAUAGAAGGUGAAAGCCCUGUAAACGAAACGGCGGACUCUCCGUCCAGGAUCCUGAGUACGGCGGAACACGUGAAAUUCCGUCGGAAUCCGGGAGGACCAUCUCCCAAGGCUAAAUACUCCCUAGUGACCGAUAGUGAACCAGUACCGUGAGGGAAAGGUGAAAAGCACCCCGGAAGGGGAGUGAAACAGUUCCUGAAACCGUGUGCCUACAAUUAGUCAAAGCCCGUUAACGGGUAAUGGCGUGCCUUUUGUAGAAUGAACCGGCGAGUUACGUUUGCCUGCGAGGUUAAGAUGAAAAGUCGGAGCCGGAGCGAAAGCGAGUCUGAACAGGGCGCUUCAGUAGGUAGAUGUAGACCCGAAACCAAGUGACCUACCCAUGACCAGGUUGAAGGUGUGGUGAAACACACUGGAGGACCGAACCCAUGUAUGUUGAAAAAUGCUGGGAUGAGUUGUGGGUAGCGGUGAAAUUCCAAACGAACUUGGAGAUAGCUGGUUCUCUCCGAAAUAGCUUUAGGGUUAGCCUCGGAGGAUGGAUCAUGGAGGUAGAGCACUGUUUGAACUAGGGGCCCGUCAAGGGUUACUGAAUUCAGAUAAACUCCGAAUACCAUUGAUCUUACUCCGGGAGUCAGACAGUGAGCGAUAAGGUCCAUUGUCGAAAGGGGAACAGCCCAGAUCACCAGUUAAGGUCCCUAAAUUUAUGCUAAGUGGAAAAGGAUGUGGCGUUGCACAGACAACUAGGAUGUUGGCUCAGAAGCAGCCACCAUUUAAAGAGUGCGUAAUAGCUCACUAGUCGAGUGGCACUGCGCCGAAAAUAUACCGGGGCUAAGCAUAAUACCGAAACUGUGGGUGCACCCGUCAGGGUGCGCGGUAGGAGAGCGUUCUAAGGGCGUUGAAGGUCGAUCGUGAGGACGGCUGGAGCGCUUAGAAGUGAGAAUGCCGGCAUGAGUAGCGAAAGAUCAGUGAGAAUCUGAUCCACCGUAUGACUAAGGUUUCCUGGGGAAGGCUCGUCCUCCCAGGGUUAGUCGGGAUCUAAGGCGAGGCCGCAAGGCGUAGUCGAUGACAAGCAGGUUGAGAUUCCUGCACUAGUUUAUUUUGUUUAAGCGAUGGAGGGACGCAGGAGGCUAAGGAAAGCGCACGGCUGGAAAAGUGCGUCCAAGCAGUAAGUCCGGUAGCGAGUGAAAUGCUUGCCGCCUUAAGGACAAGCUGUGAUGGGGAGCGAAAUUAAAGUAGCGAAGUUCCUGAUGUCACACUGCCAAGAAAAGCUUCUAGUGAGAAAUAAACUACCCGUACCGCAAACCGACACAGGUAGUCGAGGAGAGUAUCCUCAGGUGAGCGAGCGAACUCUCGUUAAGGAACUCGGCAAAAUGACCCCGUAACUUCGGAAGAAGGGGUGCUGACCGCAAGGUCAGCCGCAGUGAAUAGGCCCAAACAACUGUUUAUCAAAAACACAGGUCUCUGCUAAAUCGUAAGAUGAUGUAUAGGGGCUGACGCCUGCCCGGUGCUGGAAGGUUAAGAGGAUGAGUUAGCGCAAGCGAAGCCCAGAAUUGAAGCCCCAGUAAACGGCGGCCGUAACUAUAACGGUCCUAAGGUAGCGAAAUUCCUUGUCGGGUAAGUUCCGACCCGCACGAAAGGCGUAAUGAUUUGGGCACUGUCUCAACGAGAGACUCGGUGAAAUUAUAGUACCCGUGAAGAUGCGGGUUACCCGCGACAGGACGGAAAGACCCCAUGGAGCUUUAC
rnacentral:rRNA from 2 species